CAGCGUCUCCAAGGUUCCCGGGUGUAAAGUCCACUUAGACCGGCCAGGUCCUGGUGCCGCAACCUUCCUCCUCGAGCUCUCGGGGGUCCUGACCGUGACCGAGUCCUGGGCGGGGCACCAGCGUCUCCUGCGCGGUUUCAGUCAGUUCACCUACGAAGGCGCCGAUCACCUCGCCCUGAACGAGGACCUGUGCUUCUGGACUGCGGCGGACACGGCGGCUCAGAUCACCUGGCGGACGUGGGAGGAGGCGGGUGAGGCCGAGCACAACAGAGCCUACCUGGAGGGCAGGUGCGUGGAGUCGCUCCUCAGACACCUGGAGAACCGGAAGGAGACGCUACAGCGUGCAGAUUCCCCCAAAAAUGUACCUGACCCACCACCCCAUCUCUGACGGUGAGGUCACCCUGAGAUGCUGGGCCCUGGGCUUCUACCCUGCGGAAAUCACCCUGACCUGGCAGCGUGAUGAGGAGAACCAGACCCAGAACACAGAGCUUGUCGACACCAAGCCUGCAGGGGAUGGAACCUUCCAGAAGUCAGCAGCUGUGGUGGUGCCUUCUCAAAAACAGCAGAGAUACAUCUGUCCAGUGCAGCAUGAGGGGCCGUCCAAACCUAUCACCCUGAGAUGGGGUUAGAAGGGGGAUGAGGGAACAGAGCUUCUUCUCUGACAACAAAGCAGGAGCCCUUCUGGAGACCUUUUAGUGGUAUCAGAGCUGAGGCCUGGGGGUCAGGGCCCGUUACCCUCCCUUCCCUCCCUAGAGCUGCCUCCUCAGUCCACCAUCCCCAUCAUGAGAAUUGUUGCUGAUCUGGGUCUCCUUGAAGCAGUGGUCACUGGAGCUGUGACCUGGAGGAAAAAGAGCUCAGGUAGGGAAGAGAUAGAUGUCUAUUUUCUUGUACAACUGGGGGGAUUUCAGGACCCAGAUAGGAGUUUGCCCAUCUCCUGUCUUGUUACUGGGAGGCACCAUGCACUCAUGUGCUGUUUUAAACAGCUAUAUGUUUAUUAAGUAACACGAAAUGGGCCAAAAAAAAAAAGGAUAGCAUUUUGCAUUUAGAUAUUGCCAUUUCUGAUACUUGUUAUCUUUUCUGAGAGUUUGAGUUUCCAUCUGGUAUCAUUUGCCUUCAGGCCAAAGAACUUCCUUUGCCAUUUCUUAUAGUGCAAGUCUGUUUGUUACAAAUUCUUUUAAUUUUCUUUUAUCUGAAAAUCUAUUUUACCUUCAUACUUGAAGGACAUUUUUGCUGAAUAUAGAAUUCUGAGUUGACAGUUUUUUUCUUUUAGGACAUUAAGGUAUUGUUUCACUCUUUUUUGGCUCUGUGUUUUCUGAUGAGAAGUCCUCACAGGAGAGGAGGAACAGAAGAACCAAAACAAAAAAUAUCAUGAUAGAUGUAGUAUCUAUCAUAUCAAAAACUACCAUACAUGGAUCACCACUCCAAUUAAAAGGCAGAAAUUGUCAGAAUAUGUUAAGAAACAAAACUCAACUAUAUACUGUUUACAAGAGAUGCAUUUUCACUAUAAAGACACAGGUUGAAAGUAAAUUGAUGGAAAAAGAUAUGCCCUGCAAACAGAAACCAAUAGGAGGCUGAAGUAGCCAUAUUAAUAUCAGAAGUAAAAGAGAUUUCAAGAUAGAAUGUAUUACCAGAGAUAAGAAGAGACACUUCAUAAUGAUAAAAUCUAAUGGAAUGGGAAAUUUCACAAUUACAGACAGAAAGGCGAUUAGUAGUUGCCUAUGGCUAGGGGUAGGGAGAAAGAUCAAGUACAAAGGGGCAUGAGGAAGCUUUUUAGGAUAUGGGAGCUGUUCUAUAUGUUCUUUGUGGUAGUAGUUGCAUGAUUCUAAACAAUUAAUGAUAUUCAUCUAACUGUACAUCUAAAAUUGGUGAAUAUAAUUUUAUGUAAAGACUUUAAAAAUUAAAAAAGUAGCAAGAAAGAAGGCAAAAUAAAGACACUUUUAGAUAAAAGCAGAGAAAUCAUUGCUACUGGUCCUGCAAUGAAGUAAUUUUAAAGGAAGUCCUCCAGGCUUAAGGAAAAUGACACUAGAUGAUAACUCAUAUAUACAAAAAGUAUAACGAAUAACAGAAAUAUACGUGAUAUUCUGUUUAUGUGCAUUUUUCUUAAUUUCCUUAAAAGACGUAUGACUGUUUAAAGUAAAAAAGUAAUAUACUCUGUUAUGUGUACUGAUGUAAUAUAUAUGACAGUAACAGCAUAAAUGUGGUUAAAUGGAACUAUAUUGCUGCAAGUUUCCUAAUUGUACUGGAUGUAGUUCAAUGUUACCUUAAGUAAAUGGUGAAAAGUUAA